GAUGAACGCUAGCUACAGGCUUAACACAUGCAAGUCGAGGGGUAACGAGAGGAAAGCUUGCUUUCCUUGUCGACGACCGGCGCACGGGUGAGUAACGCGUAUCCAACCUGCCCCCAACUAAGGAAUAACCUUGCGAAAGUAAGACUAAUACCUUAUAAUUUCCUCAGAUGUCAUCUGACGAGGAAUAAAGAUUUAUCGGCUGUGGAUGGGGAUGCGUCUGAUUAGCUUGUUGGCGGGGUAACGGCCCACCAAGGCAACGAUCAGUAGGGGUUCUGAGAGGAAGGCCCCCCACAUUGGAACUGAGACACGGUCCAAACUCCUACGGGAGGCAGCAGUGAGGAAUAUUGGUCAAUGGGCGAAAGCCUGAACCAGCCAAGUAGCGUGCAGGAUGACGGCCCUAUGGGUUGUAAACUGCUUUUAUACAGGAAUAAAGUUAGCCACGUGUGGUUAUUUGUAGGUACUGUAUGAAUAAGGACCGGCUAAUUCCGUGCCAGCAGCCGCCGUAA
rnacentral:rRNA from 1 species